AAGACUUUCAGAGGACCAGAAGUGUUGCAUCGUGGGAAAUCAAUCAAGGAUCAUCCUGCUUUCAAGAGAUUCAGCCUGCACCCAGAGAAAAUGCAGAAACCCAGAAAGGACUCGAGCUGACCUCAUCCAUGUAAUUGCUGUUGAAAGUUAUAUUUUGUUUAAAAAACCCCAACAAGUUUGCAUUGGAAAAACCUGUAAUGAUGCUCCUGUUUAAUGAGACGGUUGGACUAUUUGUCAGCAUUGAAACAUUUGGUUAUGGAAAAAAGGAAGUGGUAUGUGAAAAAAAGGUGACUUAAAUGACUGAAUAUGCAGUAUUAUGAACACUUUCUAAGGAAUUGUGGGUGGGCUUUGAUGUCUCAAGCAACCUAAACAUGGAGAUCUGAAAAUCGCUGAUAGAGAAAACCUUUCACCUAGGAA
rnacentral:lncRNA from 1 species